UCCCUGGUGAUCCGGUGGUUAGGACUUGGCGCUUUCACUGUCAUGAGCCCGGGUUUAAUUCCUGGUCGGGGAA
rnacentral:tRNA from 1 species